AUUGAACGCUGGCGGCAGGCCUAACACAUGCAAGUCGAGCGGUAACAGAUCUAGCUUGCUAGAUGCUGACGAGCGGCGGACGGGUGAGUAAUGCAUAGGAAUCUGCCCUGUAGUGGGGGAUAACCUGGGGAAACCCAGGCUAAUACCGCAUACGUCCUACGGGAGAAAGGGGGCUUCGGCUCCCGCUACGGGAUGAGCCUAUGUCGGAUUAGCUAGUUGGUGAGGUAAAGGCUCACCAAGGCGACGAUCCGUAGCUGGUCUGAGAGGAUGAUCAGCCACAUCGGGACUGAGACACGGCCCGAACUCCUACGGGAGGCUGCCUGAGACGCCAAGGCACACAGGGGAUAGG
rnacentral:rRNA from 1 species